UUACGCCAGAUCACUUAAUUAAAGGGAGUCUUUCACCUAAAAUGACCAUUAUACACCACAAACAUCAUGAUAUCCAUUACAUUCCCCAUAUUAUAAUCUUACCUUUCAUAUUGCUGUCCAUCGCCUAUUUUCUCUUAAAAACG